GCCGCGUGAUGAGUCCAAGGCAAAUGUGACUCCUUCGUUCUCGGUGUAUAAUCUCCACCCGUCACCCUCGGUCUGUAAUCUUGGUGGCUGUGCAGAAGAAUCUCGCAGGCGCUGUAAGGCCAGACCUACAGUAAAUCGGUCUCUCUCUGCCUGAACGAUCUGCCCGCCAAAGUGAGCGUGCAGAGUUUGAGGGGGACCUACAGCAUGGGUCGUAACCCAGAAGAGGGCAGGGUGGAGGUUGUGCGCUAAACUAUGAUGGGGAGACAUGAGCACUUAUCUUUGGUAAUCUGAUGGUA